rnacentral:rRNA from 1 species
GUUAAGCGACUAAGCGUACACGGUGGAUGCCCUGGCAGUCAGAGGCGAUGAAGGACGUGCUAAUCUGCGAUAAGCGUCGGUAAGGUGAUAUGAACCGUUAUAACCGGCGAUUUCCGAAUGGGGAAACCCAGUGUGUUUCGACACACUAUCAUUAACUGAAUCCAUAGGUUAAUGAGGCGAACCGGGGGAACUGAAACAUCUAAGUACCCCGAGGAAAAGAAAUCAACCGAGAUUCCCCCAGUAGCGGCGAGCGAACGGGGAGCAGCCCAGAGCCUGAAUCAGUAUGUGUGUUAGUGGAAGCGUCUGGAAAGGCGCGCGAUACAGGGUGACAGCCCCGUACACAAAAAUGCACAUGCUGUGAGCUCGAUGAGUAGGGCGGGACACGUGGUAUCCUGUCUGAAUAUGGGGGGACCAUCCUCCAAGGCUAAAUACUCCUGACUGACCGAUAGUGAACCAGUACCGUGAGGGAAAGGCGAAAAGAACCCCGGCGAGGGGAGUGAAAAAGAACCUGAAACCGUGUACGUACAAGCAGUGGGAGCACGCUUAGGCGUGUGACUGCGUACCUUUUGUAUAAUGGGUCAGCGACUUAUAUUCUGUAGCAAGGUUAACCGAAUAGGGGAGCCGAAGGGAAACCGAGUCUUAACUGGGCGUUAAGUUGCAGGGUAUAGACCCGAAACCCGGUGAUCUAGCCAUGGGCAGGUUGAAGGUUGGGUAACACUAACUGGAGGACCGAACCGACUAAUGUUGAAAAAUUAGCGGAUGACUUGUGGCUGGGGGUGAAAGGCCAAUCAAACCGGGAGAUAGCUGGUUCUCCCCGAAAGCUAUUUAGGUAGCGCCUCGUGAAUUCAUCUCCGGGGGUAGAGCACUGUUUCGGCAAGGGGGUCAUCCCGACUUACCAACCCGAUGCAAACUGCGAAUACCGGAGAAUGUUAUCACGGGAGACACACGGCGGGUGCUAACGUCCGUCGUGAAGAGGGAAACAACCCAGACCGCCAGCUAAGGUCCCAAAGUCAUGGUUAAGUGGGAAACGAUGUGGGAAGGCCCAGACAGCCAGGAUGUUGGCUUAGAAGCAGCCAUCAUUUAAAGAAAGCGUAAUAGCUCACUGGUCGAGUCGGCCUGCGCGGAAGAUGUAACGGGGCUAAACCAUGCACCGAAGCUGCGGCAGCGACGCUGAUGCGUUGUUGGGUAGGGGAGCGUUCUGUAAGCCUGCGAAGGUGUGCUGUGAGGCAUGCUGGAGGUAUCAGAAGUGCGAAUGCUGACAUAAGUAACGAUAAAGCGGGUGAAAAGCCCGCUCGCCGGAAGACCAAGGGUUCCUGUCCAACGUUAAUCGGGGCAGGGUGAGUCGACCCCUAAGGCGAGGCCGAAAGGCGUAGUCGAUGGGAAACAGGUUAAUAUUCCUGUACUUGGUGUUACUGCGAAGGGGGGACGGAGAAGGCUAUGUUGGCCGGGCGACGGUUGUCCCGGUUUAAGCGUGUAGGCUGGU